ACUUGGACCGGUGUGACAAGGAGGAGUGCGAAGUGACCGUGAGGAUCGCCGUGAGGAGCGCCGAUCUUCGCUCGAGAUCGGCGAGGUGUUUUCUUGUGCCAGCGGAAGCUUCCUCUCGUCCAAGGAUCCGGCAAUAGCCGGCGUUUUGUCGCUGGUUUUCGCCCCGUGCCGGCCGCUAAGCAGUGAUUAAUGGACUGGAGCCACUGAAUUCAGGCCGACCGACGGAAAAUUGGCCGGUAGUGAAAAUUGGGAUUGUGGAGAAAGAAGGA